AAUGAACGUUGGCGGCGUGGAUUAGGCAUGCAAGUCGUACGAGAAUCGUAGCAAUACGAGGAAAGUGGCGGAAGGGAGAGGAUUACGUGGGAAUUUACCCUCAGAACUGGGAUAGCGGCGGGAAACUGCCGGUAAUACCAGAUAAUGUCUUCGGACCAAAGGUGUGAUUCCGUCUGGGGAUGGGCCCACGUCCUAUUAGCUAGUUGGUAGGGUAAUAGCCUACCAAGGCAAUGAUGGGUAGCGGGUGUGAGAGCAUGACCCGGCCUCACUGGGACUGAGAACUGCCCAGACACCUACGGGUGGCUGCAGUCGAGAAUCUUCGGCAAUGAGCGCAAGCUUGACCGAGCGACGCCGCGUGCGGGAUGAAGGCCUUCGGGUUGUAAACCGCUGUCGUAGGGGAGCAAGAGAUGAAGGUACUCCUUCAAAUUUGAGCGAUCCUAGGAGGAAGGACGGGCUAAGUUCGUGCCAGCCGCCGCCGUAA
rnacentral:rRNA from 1 species